rnacentral:rRNA from 1 species
UACGGAGGGUGCAAGCGUUGUUCGGAAUUACUGGGCGUAAAGCGUCUGUAGGCGGAUAGAGAAGUCGGGUGUGAAAGCCCUAGGCUCAACCUAGGAAUUGCGCCCGAAACCAUCUAUCUUGAGUGCCAAAUGGGUACGUGGAAUUCCUAGUGUAGCAGUGAAAUGCGUAGAUAUUAGGAGGAACACCGGUGGUGAAGACGACGUACUGGGUGGCAACUGACGCUGAGAGACGAAAGCGCGGGGAGCAAACAGG